CCAAUUGGGGGAUCAUAUCAUGCAGUCGAGCGAGUCCUUCGGGGGCUAGCGGCGGACGGGUGAGUAACACGUAGGCAACCUGCCCGUAAGCUCGGGAUAACAUGGGGAAACUCAUGCUAAUACCGGAUAGGGUCUUCUCUCGCAUGAGAGGAGACGGAAAGGUGGCGCAAGCUACCACUUACGGAUGGGCCUGCGGCGCAUUAGCUAGUUGGUGGGGUAACGGCCUACCAAGGCGACGAUGCGUAGCCGACCUGAGAGGGUGACCGGCCACACUGGGACUGAGACACGGCCCAGACUCCUACGGGAGGCAGCAGUAGGGAAUUUUCCACAAUGGACGAAAGUCUGAUGGAGCAACGCCGCGUGAACGAUGAAGGUCUUCGGAUUGUAAAGUUCUGUUGUCAGAGACGAACAAGUACCGUUCGAACAGGGCGGUACCUUGACGGUACCUGACGAGAAAGCCACGGCUAACUACGUGCCCAGCAGCCGCGGUAAUACGUAGGUGGCAAGCGUUGUCCGGAAUUAUUGGGCGUAAAAGCGCGCGCAGGCGGCUAUGUAAGUCUGGUGUUAAAGCCCGGGGCUCAACCCCGGUUCGCAUCGGAAACUGUGUAGCUUGAGUGCAGAAGAGGAAAGCGGUAUUCCACGUGUAGCGGUGAAUGCGUAGAGAUGUGGAGGAACACCAGUGGCGAAGGCGGCUUUCUGGUCUGUAACUGACGCUGAAGCGCGAAAGCGUGGGGAGCAAACAAGGAUUAAAUACCCUGGUAGUCCACGCCGUAAACGAUGAGUGCUAGGUAGUUGGGGGAGUUUCAAUACCCUCAGUGGCCGCAGCUAAACGCAAUAGCCACUCCGCCUGGGAAUACAGCUCGCAAAGAUUGAAACUCCAAGGAAUAGACGAGAGCUCGACAAGACGAUGGAGAUGUGGUAUCAAGACGCCGAGACUUACCAGGCUGUGAUCUCCAGCGUAUCACGC
rnacentral:rRNA from 1 species